rnacentral:tRNA from 1 species
AAUUAAUGAGCUUGUAAAGCAUUUGUUUUGAAAACUUAAGAAAGAAUUCUAUAAUUCUAUUAAUUU